rnacentral:rRNA from 1 species
UUGCCAGACUCCUACGGGAGGCAGCAGUGAGGAAUAUUGGUCAAUGGACGAGAGUCUGAACCAGCCAAGUAGCGUGAAGGAUGACUGCCCUAUGGGUUGUAAACUUCUUUUAUAUGGGAAUAAAAUGUUCCACGUGUGGGAUUUUGUAUGUACCAUAUGAAUAAGGAUCGGCUAACUCCGUGCCAGCAGCCGCGGUAAUACGGAGGAUCCGAGCGUUAUCCGGAUUUAUUGGGUUUAAAGGGUGCGCAGGCGGAGGUGCAAGUCAGUGGUCAAAUUGCGGGGCUCAACCCCGUACUGCCGUUGAAACUGCAUCCCUUGAGUGCGCGAGAAGUAUGCGGAAUGCGUGGUGUAGCGGUGAAAUGCAUAGAUAUCACGCAGAACUCCGAUUGCGAAGGCAGCAUACCGGCGCGCAACUGACGCUCAUGCACGAAAGCGUGGGUAUCGAACAGGAUUAGAUACCCCGGUAA